rnacentral:misc_RNA from 1 species
UCGAGAAUUAGCGAGGAAUACGUUGUACGAACACCUCAAAAGUGGACGUGUGUGGAUCAGCAUGAAGAAAAACGUCAAAAAUGGAAUAAUUGCGUAGUAAAAAGUGCAAAAGUGCAAGAAAUAAUUGUGUGCAAGAUGUGUGAUUUGGUGUAUAUGUGUAAAUAAUGCCUGUACUAACUCCGAGAACUUGAAAAUUAUUUGUAAACAAACUGUGCGAGUUUCGUUCAAGAUGGCUGGACUUUGAAGAUACUCUUUGUCCGUAUGUCAUUAUGAAAGUUGAGCUAUUUGCCCAGGAUAGGAGGUUAGAGUGGGAAUGCAUGACAUGUUCAUCCAAUCCCAUCAGUUGGUUACGAAUAGCAACAGCAAUAGCAGUAUCAGCAACAACGGGGCGGUCCAACCAAAAAAGCGUAAGGCAGAACAUUAUAGUAACGGUACCGGUAUCGUUAGCGGCAACACAGGCUCAGAGUUUUCCUUCGUCGAUCAAGUAUUUUCUGUGAACGGCGGAACGCAGAAUUUCGGAUCUUCUUCAAACACAACCAAUCUUUCUUCUCUGACCGGUAAUAACGUUAAUAAUCAAAAUACAAAUCAUAAUCACAAUGGCAGUCCUAGUCGCGUUAAUCAACAACCGUUUGUACGCGCUUCGACCAUCAAAUUGUUAGACACGUAUCAGCGCUGCGGCCAAAAACGAAAAACUUGGUCGCCCGAGGGUAAUGGUAAUAGCUGCGGGGAGGCGGUCAUCCCCAAUACAGAGUGUCCAAUAUCAACAACCACGACGGCCCACAGCAAAGUUACAGCGGCUCCGGGGGGCACCAACCCCCAGCCGCAAGGUAAGCAAAAAAGGUCGGCGGCAACGAGUGGGGCCGACGGAGAUUACCAAUUGGUACAGCACGAGGUGUUGUACUCCAUGACCAACCAGUACGAGGUGCUCGAGUUUUUAGGCAGGGGCACGUUUGGACAAGUGGUCAAAUGUUGGAAGAAGGGCACCAACGAAAUUGUCGCCAUCAAGAUUCUGAAGAAUCAUCCUUCGUAUGCCAGACAAGGUCAAAUAGAAGUGAGCAUACUAUCCAGACUAAGCCAGGAAAAUGCGGACGAAUUCAACUUCGUCAGGGCAUACGAAUGUUUCCAACACAAGAACCAUACGUGUCUUGUGUUCGAAAUGCUCGAACAGAACCUCUACGACUUCCUCAAACAGAAUAAAUUCAGCCCUCUACCUCUAAAAUAUAUCAGGCCGAUUUUGCAGCAGGUUUUGACAGCGUUGCUCAAACUUAAGCAAUUAGGACUGAUUCACGCGGAUUUGAAACCUGAAAACAUCAUGUUAGUUGAUCCAGUACGACAGCCUUACCGCGUGAAAGUGAUAGAUUUCGGCAGUGCAUCACAUGUCAGCAAGGCGGUAUGUAACACUUACUUGCAAUCGAGGUACUACAGGGCGCCGGAGAUCAUUUUGGGAUUGCCCUUCUGCGAAGCAAUCGACAUGUGGUCGCUGGGAUGCGUGGUGGCGGAACUCUUCCUGGGAUGGCCGUUGUAUCCGGGAUCUUCUGAAUACGACCAGAUCCGAUACAUCAGCCAAACCCAAGGUUUACCCACCGAGCAUAUGCUGAAUAACGCAUCGAAAACGACCAAAUUUUUCUACAGAGACAUGGACAGCACAUACCCUUUCUGGAGGCUCAAAACACCAGAAGAACAUGAAGCCGAAACUGGGAUCAAGUCCAAAGAGGCCAGAAAGUACAUCUUCAAUUGCUUAGAUGAUAUAGGACAAGUUAAUGUACCAACUGAUCUCGAAGGUGGCCAAUUGUUAGCCGAAAAAGUUGACAGGAAAGAGUUCAUAGACUUGCUGAAAAGAAUGUUGACCAUGGACCAGGAGAGAAGGACAACUCCCGGAGAAGCAUUAAACCACGCAUUUGUCAGAUUGGCCCACUUAGUAGACUACGCACAUUGUAAUAAUGUGAAAGCUAGUGUACAAAUGAUGGAGGUUUGCCGACGAAACGAUUUCAACAAUACGACUUCCGCUUCUCAUCAUCAACCGACACAACAGGCACCGUCAUUGGUAGCCAAUUUCGUUCCAAGUUCUAACGGCAACGUAACGUUCACCAUUAACAAUCAGCUGACCAAUCAAGUUCAAAGACUUGUUCGAGAUCGGUCGGGAUACGACAAUUUGUAUCAAAUAUACAACGGCAGGACCGUGGGCAGACAAUAUGCUACAAGUAGCCGAGCAGAUCCCUUCCAACACCAACUCGUGUCGAGUAUUCUUUGUCCUGCUGGUUACCAAGGAAUGGGAGGAUCUCCAGCGAAACAUGUGACUGUCGUUCAGCAACAACAACUGCAGAUACCACCGCCGAUUUUGAGUCAACCCGGUCAACAACAGUAUGUACCUGUUAGUGUGGUUGAGCCUAGUGGAAGACAAAUGUUAUUAACUAACGCAGUACAAACCUCCUGGCCGACCAAUCGCCAGCAGAUGGCUAUCGUACCCUCGUGGCAACAGAUUCCACCACAACAUGCUGCCAUCCAACAACCCCUGCUCUCCGAAGCCGAAUGGGGACGACCCCUCUUGGUAGACUCAUCUGCGAUUCUCCAAGAGCAAAGACCUGUUUUUCCCGUGGACGUCGCAGCAGAGGUUUACAAUCCUACCAUCGUCGAUCAUACGGGAGCCUCUUGGGGGAGUAGUAAGAGGAGUUCCAAGAAUCAUCAUGGACAGCAGUCUGGGUCGCAUCAUAGCCAUCAUCAUUUAAUGGUUCCGUCGCAUCAUCGAUCUCAACACGAUAAGAAAGAACAGACGCAACUGAGUCCAGUUAAGAAACGGGUAAAGGAAGGGACACCUCCUACAGAACAGAUCAGCUAUGCGAGCAGUAGUAAUAGAAGGAAUCAUAGUCCAUCAAAUCAGUGGCAUCAUUCUUCUUCGCAUCAACUUGUAUCUUCCCAUGAUCACCAUACUCAAACGGUGCAUCACCAUCAUCACCACCACCACCAUAACAGCAGCAGCUCCAACACUAUCGCCGCCGCCCCUCCUAAACAGCAUACUAUUACUAUUAAUGAUACACCCUCGCCAGCAGUUUCCGUUAUCACGAUAUCCGACAGCGAAGAUGAAGUGGCACCAGGCAAGAAAACUAUACAUACCACCACACAAACUCAACCAUUGGCACCGCCCCCACCAGUUACCGCGGCACAAAGGAAAAACGUGAUAAGUUGCGUCAGCGUACAAGAUAGUGAUAAUGAAGAAAGACAUUCUGUUAAGGCUUCCACUCAGACUCACAAUUACAAUCCAGUUAUCAAAAACGAACCAUGCCAGAGCCAACAUAGCAGCCAGAGCAGCCAAAAUAGCAGUAGUAGCAGCAGUAUCAAUUACGCAUCUCAGAAAAAGAGGAUUCUGGCAAAAGCACAGUCUGAGUGCAUGUUAAAUGUACCCACGAAACAAGAACCUACAGACUAUAACUAUUUGCAACACUGUGGAUCCGCUUGUAAAGAACCCACACAGACCUAUCAGUACGUUAGUACCUCCCAACACGACCAACCGACAUACUCUACGAGCGAUAAACGAGUCUCGUGGGCUCCCCCCGUAGCCCACAAUACCUCGAGUCACUCUCGGCGACACUCGGCAGUGCCAGUAGUCAACCUCCAAGAGUACGCCGUUACUGCGCAGCCGCACAAUGAAUAUAUCCAACCGCCUGCCGCCCAUUCGACGAGAGAUUCGCUGACUGUCGCCAGAGAGCAGCAUCUGCUAGCUCCCGGCAAGAGCUGGGGACCGCCGCAGGCUAUUCAUCCAAGUUAUAGACACAGCCAGGCGCACCUAUCUCCACAACCACUAGCGGCUGCACCGAGGCUGUCACCUCAACAUCCAUUGGCAGCAGCGGCUGGCCAACCGCUCUACCACCAAACCGAGCUUUACCGACGACCUGUCUACGUCACCACUACGCAACCCGCAUAUCUGCCAGCUACUCACCAGGUGGCGCCGGCGGGCCGCGCUCUUCCCCCGCCUCCAGCACACCAUGCGAGCGCCAGGCCCGUGCUAGCCAGCCACGCUAGUCACCCGCUGCCGGCUCAUCUGCAAUUCCCGUCACACGCUCAGGUGACGGCCGCCUCCUACGGAUUCGCCCCGCUUAGCCCCGCCAAAAGCCAUCAAUACCAACCGGCCAGUCUUUGGUUCGCCGAAUAGAUACGAAGGAAUAUUAUGAUACAAAAAAGAAACUAUACGUUGACUGGAUACUGCUCAAAUUUCGGUCCAGUUUUUUAUGAAAUUGUAUUUAGUUUUGGUUGUUAUAAGAUCUGGUGGUAAGUGCAUUUAGAUGCGAAAUGAACCGAAAUGUUUGUCAAAUUUUUAGAUAUAUACAAGAAGCGCAUUGUGGGAUUAUGAAUAAAGUUUAAGUCUACUCUACAAAUGACAUUGCACACAUCUUGUGAAAAAUAUAAUGUCACUCAAAUGCAAGAAAAUUUACAUGAGAAGAUUCAUCUCGAAAUUACAAUCAUUUUAGAUCGUUGCGCCAACUCCGAAUUUUGUAUACCUCUGAAUAUAGGAAUACUGACCAAAGUCAUGACUUUAUUAUCUAUAAGGUAAGAGUAAUCCUCUGUCUUAACCCUUUCGUUCACGAAUUAAAUUUCUUUAAGCUAAAAAUCUGAUAUUUGCAACAUAGCGAGAAUGAUUUUUUUGCGAAUUUUUGAUAUUAGUUUUACAUUUUCAAAAUGCACAGUUUGGUCACUACAGGUUGUCCUCAUUUGAGAACAUCGUAAGCCAAUGGAGUAAAAAUAUUUGAUAUCUUUUUUAAAAUACUGACAAAAAAAAACAAAAACUAAAGUGUUUUAUUCGGUAAGUAAUAUAUCUUACAAAACAAUUUUUUCUUUACUUAUACAGAGAUGAACGUUGCAUUUAUCCCAUGUCAUUCGUAAGUUGCUCUUACAAACAGGCAAUGUACAUCUGGAUACAUUAGGUUUAUCAUCGUGUAUGAGCCAAUGGUGAAAUUCAUCUAGUCAUACUUCUUGGACGGAGCGCGUUUUUAUAUUUACCUAAAAAUGAAUUUUUCCGUUGACUCACAAUGUCCACAAACGAGUACACGAUUUUCAGAAAAUCCUCGGUAGCUAAUUUUAAGCAAAAACGCUAUUAUACUGAAUUCGCUCUACGGAGAUUCACUUUGACACAUUCGGAAUAGGAAACAUACAACACAAAAAUUCCUACCUCACACUAUGUAUUAACUGCUAAAAUCAACUUAAUCUUUCAUUAAAAAAAGAAGAAUUAUUAGAAAUAGUGGGAGUGUCUACUAAUCUCAUAAAAUUUUGUGGUGUUUAUUUCUACAAAAUAUUUUUAUUUUGUACAAUAAAUAAUUUUCUCAUUUGUUAUCAAUACAUUAUAAUGGUGUAAAAAAAUAAUUAUUGAUUGGCGUAAGGUUUAUGUUAUUUUUAUGUCUGUUUACUAUUAAUAAUAUUGGCUAUGAGCAGGUGCGUUGGUUGUGUAGUAAUUUCCAGUCACUUCUGACAACUGAACUUCACAAAACAGAAAUUACUAACGUCAGUGUCAAACUGAAUCUCGAUAGAGCGAAUUCAGUAUAACAAUAGUUUUUUAAUAAAUUCUACUAUUUAUCAACAUCACAAAACACAUUCAAUACCAAUUGUUCAUAUUUAUAACGAAAGAAACUCAAAUGAAUUCGGCUGCAUACACCAGUCAUAAGUAACUAUAGAAACCCAUAUUUCAACAAAUUAAAUGUUUUGUUCAAAAGCUGUUAGAUGGCAGCACAAGUCCUCAUUUGACGGAAUAGGAUAUCCAUAAUCGGGGACAAUGUGUUACCAGAGUAAAAACACAUGUAGCUACAUACAAAAAAAUUAUAGAAUAGGUUGUCCUCAAUUGAGGACACGGUUGACGAAAGGGUUAAUACUUGAAAAAUAUUUAUGAACUGGCGACUUACAAAAUCUUUCUUCUCUCUUUGACUUACAUACAUUCCCAUUUGAUUUUAGAUUUAUUUCUUUUGUAUUAAUCAAAAUUCAGACUUUACGCAAUGAUAUGAAAUGAUUGUAAUUUCGAGAGGAAUCUAUUAAUGUAAAUUUUAUUUCAUUUGAGUGACAUUAUAUUUUCCAUAAGAUGUGUCCUUAACACGAAAAUACAUGUUUAUAUUUCAAAUAACAUAUUGUUAGAAAGUAACUCUCUAAACAAUGUGUAACAGUUAUUACAAACAAUUGUAAUAAUUGUGCAUUUGAUGGAAUGUAAAAUUUUGCGCUAUAUUGUGUAUACCUCUUCAUAUGAUUGUUUGUCUAAAGGAGAUGGCGCCACUAAAUGUACUUACUAUCAAAUCGAAUGUUACUUGAAUAGUGCCUAUGUUUUAACCGUGUAAUUUUUAAGUUUCUGUGUAUUGUGUGUUAGAAUUUUUUAAUUGUUAAGAAUUUUCCGACUUAUUUUAUAUUGAUUGCAAUGGUAUUUUGUUCCCUUGUGUCGACAAGAGUCCAUAUAACACACUAUGUUAUGUAGGCUGUUGUCUUGGCAAGGUCAUAGUGUUGUAUACGAAAUUAGUUUGUGCAAUUAUCGGUCUGUUGCUAAGGACGUUUUACCUCUUUCAAAACGGUUACUUGCAACGGAUCUAUAUCUCUAACGUUCCACAUUUUCUCGUACUUUAUUUUAAACAAGGUAUUCUUCUAUCUUGCUACUAAUACAAAAAGGGUAUUAAUAUGUGUUAACGUAAAUAUUUUACCUAAACAGUUUUAUUAUUUUUUUUCUUACGAAAGUUUUCGGGGGAUAUUUUCCAGUGCAACUUUGUACAUAUUUAUCUGUAGCACUUGGAAAUGACCACUGAUAACAAUAAAUAUUUAUUUAUCACUUUCACAUUAUAUACAUACUGCCUUCAUAUCAAAAUGAUUAUUUAAGGUCCGCCCUGACGGACUUAGCAUUUUAAUCAUGAUUAGUGUAGAAUGAUUUAAAAAAUAUUAAAUUUAAUUUUUGUUCUAUUAAUUAAUUAACUAAUUAAUUAUUAUAUCGUAUUUUUUUAAUUUUUAAAGAGCCUUUAUCAUACGGCGGAUAAUCCAAUCAAAAUAGUUAUUCAUUCGCCGAUGCAGUUGGCAUUCCUGUAUUUUUGUUUAUUAUAGCUAUUAACAUUUUAUUAGGAUUAUUUUCUUCUGGUUUGAAGAUUGAUUUAUUAGUUCGAGCUUGUUUUAAAGCUUCAAUUUUUCAAGUAGUAGCAAUACUACGCAAGAGCUAGAGUUGAAUAGAGAAAAGAGGAGAUAAAGACGUUUACUGGAGUGAAGUUGGCAGAGUUUUAGAGCAUCGUGGAUUAGGUUUAGUUAAUACAUGAUUGAUAAAUGUUACACCAAAAACUGUUGAACCAAGCGGCAUCACAACACAAAAAGAUAUCAUUUGUAUGAAUGAAUAUUACUUUGAUCUCUCAUCGUUGAGGUGGUAAUAGAUCGACAUAUUUAAAAUUUAUUAAUUUAAUAAAACUUGUUUAAAAAGAUAAACGAAUAUGUAUUUUAAUGAUCAAGCUUUAACUUACCUUUUUGAAUAUAGGCGAAAAAUGUUGAGCAAACUCUUGAAGAAUUACUUUUUUUUCAUAAACGGGUUAUAGACGGAGAGGCAGCGCUGAAAAAUCUAUUUGAAUUUACUAAAGCUAGAUUUUUCACAGUUGAUUCUAAAUAUUCAUUGUAAUGAAAAUCUAUGCACAGGUUAAUUUUAGUCAAUAAAAAAGCUACAAUUUAGUAGUUUAUAAUUUUUUUCAUAUCUUCAGUAUUUUCGGAGAUAUUUUGAAGUAAAAGGUAAAAAAUACCAAAUUGCAAAAAAUCAAUUUUUCUUUAAACUCCAAUUUUUCCAAAAUUAGGGCAUUUUAAAUAGGUCAAACUCCUUGAGUGUAUUGAUAAUAUAAAUAUAAAAGGAAGUACAGAAAGUUGAAGACCAAUUUUGAAUUAGGAAGGUAGUUAUGGGGUUGUUUUCACUGAUUUUUUCGUAGAGAAAAGCAGGUACCGACAUUUUUUUGUAAUUCGCUUAAUUAUGAUGCUAGAAACUUUUUAUUAUUUUUUUUGAAAGGUCUAAUUGUAUACUUGAAAAAAGAUAAUUCAAGUUUUUCUCGAAAAAUGCAAAUUUUUCCCAUUAUUUGGCUUUGAAUAUUUCAAAUUGUGCAUUUGACGAAAAAAGCUAACCUUAAACAUGCCGUAUCUCGGUUUAAAUUGGUCUUAAAGAUAUUAUAGGAAAAGAAUUUGGUUUGUGUUACUAAAAGAUACAAUUUCGAUAUCGACAGUUUUUUUUUAUUAAAUGCAUAUUUUUCGAGGUAUUCUCAAAAAACCCUCUAAAAAGUCGAUUUUUUCGUCGAAAAACUGUUAUUUUCAAGCGCGAAUAACUCGAAAAAUAUUAGUUUUACGAAGAAAAUGUAAAAAACAUUUUUUCUUAGAAUCACUUUUUCCAUCGAAUUACAUAGUUAAAAUGUAAUAAAAAAUUCCCACCCCCGAGAUGGGGUGGCAACCACCCCCAAGGUUUUAGCGUAUGAUAGCGGCAUGAUAUAGAAAAUGAUUCUAGGACUAUUCCCUACCUUCUGUGAAAAUUUCAAGUAAAUCCAUGCUGGACGAAAAAAUUGCGAGCCAAAAUGCUUCAUUUCCUCAAUCGACUAUUGGGGCCGACCGACCGGCUCUGUCCCGUCAUACAACUGACCGACUAUAAUAACUUUUAUUUAUAUUUAAUUUAGAAUGUGUGUACCGAUUUUCAGCCUUAGUAAAUGGAAAUAAUUACCUUCGUAGGAAAGCAACUUUGAUACCCUCUCAGUAACCCCUGUUCUACGUUUCGCUUGACGGACCGCAGUAUGUUUUUCUACACACUCACAGUAAUCAACUGUGAAAAAUCUAGCUUUAGUAAACUCAAAUAGAUUUUGCAGCGCUGCCUCUUGGUCUAUUACAUGAAGAGUUAUAUGGAAAACAAAUCUUAUGUUUGAAAUACUGCUUAAUUUAGUUGAUUACUUAAUUACAUCUAUUAUUUAGUUUACUGUUUUUGUUGGGAAUAAGCCACAAUUUUAUUUUUUCAACAAGUUUAUUUGACGUUUCGAUUUCCGAUUCGGAAAUCAAAACGUUAAAUAAACUCGAAUUUAAAGUAAACUUGUGAUUUGUUGCCAAUAAAAACAGUAUUAAGAUGCCACACAGAAAUAGCUUUAGAACAAUAUCAACUAUCUAAUAAUUAUCGAUACUUUGGCUACAGCCUUUGACAGAAUCAUAUGUACAGUAUUUGUAGAUAUGCCACCAGUUGUAUUGAACGUUGUGGUUCCAUACAAGUUGUAUUGAAAAAUGUUGGAUGGGUUGCAUAUGCGGAUUCGUUUUGAAUGAAGUAAAAAACAGACGUACUCGCAAUCAUUUAUUGUUAUAACUUCCGACGACCGGUUUCGUUCUCUACAAUUUGCAGAGCAUCAUCAGGUCAACGGUUACAAGUAAACUAAACGCUACAAAUAAAAAACCAGAGUUAGGACAUUGUCUGGUUGUAAAAAGAUGCUAUAAGAUCAAGUCAAUAUUUAAAAAUAUAUAAAUUAAAACCACAGACAUAUGUAUGCACCCAUACCGGUAAAACAAACACUCAUGUUUCUGCAAACACAUGCAAAUGUAUGUGGUCUAUGAUUGUGCAAUGUAAACGUGUUAUACUUACAUGCCGUUACAAGGAGGGAUUUCUAAAGUCUUCAAUAGUAUUGAAAAAGUUUGUAGAAGCAAGUGUUGUGAAUCACAAGAGUUUUUUGUCUACAUUGUCAAAAAAAAUCGUCGUAUCAAAAAGAUCAUCAGGUUAACAUUCUAUCUCGUAAAUUUCUACCAUACGAAGAAUGUAAAGAACCAAAUAUACGUCAUGGUGUAACGUUUGCUGCAUUUCAGAUUAUCUUUUUUUGCUUUUCAUGUUUUUAAGAAUUAGGAUUAGUUUUGUCUUUAUACGUAGUUUUACUAGUCUUUAUUAUAGGUUAAAGAGUGUCUGUCACUUCACACCAACAAAGUAACGUUAGUUGGAAUAAAAAAACGAUAUCGCAAACGAUUGCUACUACUUGAUUUUCAUAAAUUGGUAAUCGACAGUGUUUUGAUAUGAUAGAGACCUGGAACUUCCUCUCUAGGUCCUGUUUUUCUGUCUUUUAGCUUUUUGAAAGUCGCUUUUGGAAUGUUUCCCGUUGCGAUUUUUUAUUCUACUCUUCACAAGAAUAAAAACACUAUAUCUAGCUAGUCAAUUUUUGCAAUUGAGUAUGUGUCAAAAUAAUUAGGGGGAUAUGAGAAAACACUUUGUUUUUUUAGGCUGAAGUCCAGCAGAAUCCUUUAUAGGUGUUUCAGAAUCGCCUCGAGAAUUUUUUAAUAUAAAUAUUAAUUUAGGUGUUUCUAUCUAGAUGUAUAAGCAUCGAGGUUUUAUCUGAUAUGUCUCUAAAGGAUUCGUUUUGGACACUGCCAUAUACGACACUUGGGGUUGGGUUUCAAUUUAAAGUAAAUAAAAGAAUACUUAGUAGCGUUUAAAUAUUCAAGAAAAUUCUAGUGUUUUAAAAUGUUUGAUGUGCCUGUAAAUGUAAUAAUCUUUCAUACACUCUAUGUUUGACGUUAUGUAAUGAAAAAAACAACUAUGCACUUAAUGUCUCAGUGUUUUUAACAAGGGUAUAUAUGCGUCAAUAUAGUUGUGGAAUAUAUAGUUGUGAUAUUUAAUAAAACUAUUGAAAAUUAUCAUUUUUUAUGUUAUUUAGGGUGAGACCUUUUGUUGCCAUUACUAUUUGAAUCAUUAAACAAACGUUUUAGGUAAAGAGGAACACACAUUAUGAAUUUUGCCAGAAUUUAUUUUUUUAUGUACCUACUCUUUUUAUUGGCGGUUUUUGUUUUACAAAUCCUUAAGCUGACUUGUAGCUCAGACGAUCAGAAGACUCUAGUUCUCUCCUUGAUAUUGAUAGAAACGUAUAAUAUAUGUUUUUUAAUUGAGUAUUAUUCAAUUAAAAAAAUGGUUCGGUGCUGGGGCUAUUACAAUUAACACGUUGAUCACUGCUGUUAUAUUUUUUAUAUGCCGGCUUAUUGGCUCAAAAGGCUGUCGGAUUCGGUUGUAGGCAAAUAAAUUGGACUAAAAAUGGCGGAUAACAGCUGAAAUAUGUCUGUAGAUUCCUUCGACGUAAUGCGUGAUGUCAACAUGAACUACAAAAAUUGGACUAAAAAUGGCGAAUUUGAUUAAAAAUGCCGAAACGGACUAAAAAUGGCGCUAUCUAGCGGAUAAUAACUGAACUAUGACGGUAGAUUCCCUCGACGUCUGUGACGUCAGCAUCUAUCUCACUCAUUACUCAUUGGAAAGGUACUUCUCUCUCUAACACAUUGAUUUCCCUAUCUCUAUAGUGAGGCAAACGUUGUAUAUCUACUAUGUUUAUGCUGUGAGUAGUUUAUGCUGUGAGUCAUAUCUGCGCCAGAAAAUUUUCAAACGCAACAGCGUAACAUUCAGAAUAGAUCUGCAGCUUGAGUUGGGAUUCGGCAGUGAAUCACGUCUGCCUAUUAGUAGGGUGAGAGAUAGACUAUCGUGGAUCUCGCUCUUCGGUUCUGAUCCUUCAAAGGAAGUGUACUGGUCAUCGUAAUGUCGUGUAUUGUCCGUCUCCAAAGAUUUCUAUCUCUGGUUAUUUAUUUUAACCCAUGCACAGGUCUUUUGCAUAUCCAUGUAAUUUGGUCGAUCCAUUUUGUUGUUGAUCUUCCUCGUGAUCAUCAGCUUUCUACCUUUCCUUGGAUAACAUGUUUUCUGUGUCUGCUCUCAUAACAUUUCCUAAGAUGUGCUAGAUAACCGGAGCAUACUUAUUUUAUACAUUAGUUCUCAUCUCAAGUUGUUUUACUAUGAAAAAUACAAGUUAAAAAUAUUGAGAUGCUGCAAAUAUAAUAUCUAGAAAAAUUUUACGUUACAAAUACAACAACAGCCGAAUAAAAGCGAUAAAUCAUUGUGUUUCUCUCAUAUAUGAUCACUGCUGAAUGAUAGCCAAAUUUUUGUAAGUCAAUGUAGCAGUUCUAAUCAACUGUAUAUUUGCACUAAUUUUAUAUUAACAUUUGCAUCAAUAUUUUUGCGUAUGCUGCGUCGUCUUCAAACGCCAAAUUUAUGCCAAUUAUACCAUGCCAUUUUAUCGAAACGUAUUCACUGCGGAUGGCACCGUUAGGAGACGUUAGCAGACACGUUUUAUGUGCGGUUGGCGCCAAUUGGUGCCGCGUGUAUUUGCGAUUUCGCUGCGUACGGCACCGUUAGGAGCCGUUACAGUCACGUUUUAUGUGCAGUUGGCGCCAGUCGGUGCCACGUGGAUUGGAAAUUUCAUUGACGGAAAUUAAAAUCAUCGUUAUAAAGAUUAUUAUCCUUAUAAAAUUAUUUCUGUAUCUUGAAUUUUUAUUUUUGGCGCGUCUACUACUUUUGGAGUAAAGUUGAUCUUAUUUUAUAUUCAGCCUCCUGUUUCCUUGGUGUCAUUUCCACUGGGAAAUCGCUUGCAAAUCGUUUUUCCUCGCAACAACUGUUCAUCCGAUUCUUUCCGAGCCUUCUCAGCUGGCUUUUUGGAUAACAUCUGCGUUUUCCAUGUUGGAAUAUUUCUCCAUGUUGUCUUUUCCUGGAACCAUUUUAAUACAGUCGUAAUAAACUGCUUUGAAAUUUUCGAAAAUAUUUAUUUCCCCUUACCCUCCUCUUUUCAGGGAUACUUAGGGAUAAUUCCAGGGAUACCUUUGGACAUCUCUGAAGUUCAGCUGUAGGUCGGUUUUCUGAGCUAGAAACGGUUCACUUUGACGACAUUGAAGACUCAUACUUCUGCCAGAAGUAUGAAAAUGUUUUUGAAGUAACCAUUUCUUCGGUUCUUCUUAGUUGCUUGAAUACUCAUCCCUGACAAUGGUUGGUUCUGUUUUUCAAACAUGUUGGUGUUUCCUUUCUCUUUUAGAUUAAGAUUCGUCAAAGGGGGUAGUGUGGUCCUGGAGCAUCUCUCGCAAUGUCUCUUCUUUCUUCAAAUUUGCUUGCAGUAUUCUCACUUUGCGACAAACUUCACACGGAACUAAUCGAUGAUACUUAUCACUGAUACUCCGAUGGUCUCGCUGUUUAUUUACUAUUCAAACCGUGUUUAUCGUUUAUCUGCUUCUCCAUCUAGGCUGACUAUGGUGAGAUCUGACGAAGACGUAGUGGAGACGUCUAGAGGAUAAAGCAGACAUACUGCAGCACAUGCCUUUUCGCAAUAUCUGACGGGUUUUAUUUAAAGGUGACACGACACUCGACUAUCAUUUUUCUGAAAAUUUCUGUUCCUUUUUUACCUUUAAUAUAUCGUUAACUAUGUGAUAAAAAAGUAGUUUUGACAGCAAAGAGUCUACCCUGCGUAACUCCAUUGCCUACAAAUGACGAUUUGGAAAUAAUUCGGUGUUCUUACAAAAAAAAAAAAAAGUUUUACAAAAGAAUAUCGAAAGAUUGACGAUUCGUCAUAGAUGUUUUCAAUUAGUUUAGAAGGUAUAUCUUAAAAAACUUAGGCGAUAGAAUUAGAAAUAUAUAUGGUAGAUGUAACAAAUAAUAUUUUUGGAUUGUGUAGAAUAGUUUUUCGGAUUACUAAAUAAUACAAAUAAUAAUCAGGUGUUUUUUCGCUAUAUGUAGGUUUUCUCAUUGGAAACUGCUCUAGCUUAAGGGGAUUUUGCCUUGCAAACAUGGGGUUUUUCGGUGGUUCUCAACAAAUUAGAAACACUAAGUAAAGUAUGUUGUAAUUAAUUAUAUUUUAAAUUCAGUUUAGAUUUGUAUGUAACGGUGCUACACGUAAUUGUAGCAUGAAAAAAAUUUUCUCCGUCCUGUAAUAAAUUUACCUAUACAUAGGAGUUCUUUGGAACUACUAAAUGUUUAAGAACGCUACAAAAAAUUUUCCAACAUAUUGAUAUAUUUAUUUCGGUGUUUUCUAUUAGUCCAUAUACUGACGGUUUUCGCUCCAGAUUUUAAAGAACCGCUUGGAUAGACAUGAAAUUUGGCAUACACAUAGCUAAAUGUCAAAGAAAAUGAUAUUGUGUCGAUGUAUGCUUUUGCCCUGGGAUGAGUUUCAGCCCCUUCUUGGGGGUGAGAAAAGAUACGUUCAACAUAAAUUCGGAAUUGGAUAAACCGACUAAUUCUAAGCAACUUUUGUUCUAUAUCGUUUUUCACUAAGUUAAUACUUUUCUUCAACAUUUUUUUAACAAAAAAUCACGUUUUUAGACGGUUUUUUGCAAAUAUCUAAAAAAGUAAGUAUUUUAUCAAAAAAUGUUCUUGGCUUAUAAAAAAGUAACAAAAAUGGUGUAUGUAUAAGGUCUCUAGAACCAGUAGAGGCAGAUUUGUAGCUAAUUAAAAAUAAGUUCAUAUUCGUCAAAUUCCAAAUCGAAUAUUUCAAGGUGAAAUAACCAAAAAAUGAGGCACUUUUUGGGGAAAACUCAUUACAAUUUUUUAACCAGUCUGGUCUUUAGAACCAGUAGAAACAGAGUUGUAGCUAAUGAAAACUAGGUUCAUAUUCGUCAAAUUCCAAAUCGAAUAUUUCAACGUGAAAUAACCAAAAAAUGAGGUACUUUUUGGGGAAAACUCAUUACAAGUUUUUUAAAGUUUCUAAACUUAUUACAAAUAUUUUUUCAGCCCCACAAAGGGGCUAUAUUCACCCCCGGGCAUAAUCACACAUAGGCACAAUAUCACUUUUUUUCUUUGACAUGUUGGCUAUGUGUAUGCCAAAUUUCAUGUCAAUGCAAGCGGUUCUUUAAAAUUUGGGGAUUUUAAAAUAUUUUACCGUGAGUGAAUGGACUAUAUGAGGUACUACCUCUAUCGUGAACCUUAACACUGUUUGCAAGGCAAUAUUAUUUUUUGUAUUGUACCCCUUGCUAGAGCAUCUAAAUAAGAUACGCUGUCCGGGUAUAUGCAUGUUGGUGUACAGAAUUUUCGAUGUUCAGUUCCUCAGCACUUUAAUUUUUAACUCCAAUCAACAGAUUUGUACAUAUUUUUUAACAUUGUUGGUUCAAAGAUCUUUUUUCUGUGAUCGUCAAAAUUUCUUUUGUACAUAUUUUCAUUUUGGUUCGUAGAUUCGGCAAAAUCGGCGCAGACUUUGGUACGAGGCCUAGAAAGCUAUUGGUAGAUUGAAGGAACAGUAGUGGUAAAUAGUAAGAACUAGAGAUAGGUCAAAAUAUCUUUUAUCAAAACCUGAAUUUGCAAAUUUUAAUUAGUAAUUUUUUAGAAUGAUUUUUCGAACAAUUUUAGUUUCUAUCCUUUAAAUUCGAACUGGUUCUAAUCGUUUGUGUUGUGGAAAGGAAUUUAUUAGUUUGAGUAUGUUCAUUGACUACAAGUCACAAAUAUAUAAUAUAAAUUUAAAUAUGUCACAUAUUUUUUCAAAUAUAUCUAAAUAACAAGAAAAUAAUGUAUUCGGUAAAAUUAAAUUGAUUUGGAUUAUUUAAACUGGUCCUAAAAGUACCUAGUUCGUACCUGGCACAUAACAUCUAAGCACUUAUACCGUUUUUAAACUAGGAGGAGAACUCAAGGAGGAAACUCAAAAGACAAAUUCACACCAAAUAAUGUCACUAUAAAAAUCACCAGAUUAAUCUUCUUUUUUUGGUUGAUCAUGUUGGCCUUCGACUGUAAUCCAUAAAUACAUUUAACAUAAUACAUAUUAUAUUAUACUAAUACGUCGCUCAAGAGUUCUAAAAACAACUGUUUUUUAUGUAAAAGCAGACUAAAAAUCUGAAAAUUAAAGGAAUAACGCAGAAAACACAAAAAUCGCCGAUAUAACUUAAUUAAACUAUGAAAUGACAAUUAUGCCCGAUUUCACCAACGAUACCUAAACAGUUGCCUUAUUAAGUAAUUCUUAUCGAUAGGAACUUCUUAAGUCAAUACUUAAGAACAAUCGCAUUUCACAAUUAAAAGAACUGCUUAUCUAGGAAAUGCUUUCCUAGGUAUUACCUAGGGUACGUUUGAACUAUUUCUGAUAAAUAAAAAGAAGAAUAAGAUGACAUUUUCUUACUUUUUCGAUUAUUUGUCAUUAUUGUUUGUUUGCCAAUUUGGUUUUAUUCAGUUUUGUACUGUUAAAGUUAUUUUAUUUAGUAGUUAGUUAAUUGUGCAUUAAGUUUGUGUAUAAUAAAUAUAGUACUGUAUGUUAUUUGUAUAUGUACAGUGAAAUGGAGGAAAAGAAAAGAGUUAUAAAUUUCACAUAUGACGAAAAAUUAAAGUUAGUUGAAUUAUCAUUAUUGAAAUAAUUUUAAAUAUAAUAUGUUGAAAAUUGUUUUUUAUUAUUCAUUUUUUAAUGACACACUUUAAGUUAUAUCAUGAAUGGGUUUUUGAAACACAACACUAGUUUGUUAGGUAGUAGGUAGACUACAUAAUUUUGCCAACAGACCUGUAAAAAACUCCAAAGGAUUUUCUAUAUUUUCCAACACAUAUUAUAUUAAUAAUAUAAAAGAAAAUACAAAAUUACAACUAAUAAAAUACCUAAUAUUACAGAAUAAUAGAAAAAUUAAGGUAAGAAGCAAAUUAUUGACAAACGUCACAAGUACAUUAGUCAAAAUUGUAAAAAUAUAACCCGACUGUCAACGAUAAGUAAUACCUAAAGUUUAGGGAGAUCGAAAUCCGUAUCCUAACGUAAGGUAAUGCUUAAGCGGUUUAGGUAAUUCUUAUCGUAUGGUGAAAUCCGUUUUAGAGUUAGGAAGUACCUAAACCCACUUAGGUAAUUCUUAAAUAUUUAGGUAUCGUUGGUGAAAUCGGGCAUUAGUGUCAAAAUUUCAUAACAGUGAACUUGCCUGAGGUUGGACAAUUACAAACAAGCAAAUAAUUUCCGAUCUAAGAACAAUAAACUCGAUUACAUAACUUAUUUUACAAUACGUGAUAAACUCCCACUGAUAUAUUUGACAGAAGCUGAUAUGUAAUAAAGAAAGGUAGUUCCAGAAAAAUACUUAAAAUAUUCUUUUUACUAAUGUAUUGUUUUUGUAAUUUGUAUUUGGCUUUAAAAUCAGUGGGCUGAAAAAUGAGAUAAAAAUCUAUUUAUUUAAAGUCUAACAAUCUCCAUUUUCACAAAGAUCAUGUAUUGAAAUAUCAGUUGCUCGAUUUCUUCCAAGAGAACUUUUCAUCGGAUGCUUCCAAUUCCAUGGAAUCAAGCAUUGAAAAUGUACUCAAAAAAUUCUUCAUUUCCUCGAUAUUAGCAGUUUGAAGUCAGACAAUAAAAUAAGAACCAGCAUUUUUAGAAAUCAUUAUUUUAUCACACUUUAUACAUUUUACCAAAUCUCUUACGACUAAUUACUUAAGAACCACGAAAAAAGACGCAGUUGAGUCGAUUUUGCCCAAUACUCACAAACCUUUUCGCUUUAACUAGUUUUAAUAAUAUUGUAACGCCUUAUUGAGAGACAAAUAUUAGUAUUUUAGACUUGACAGUCAUUUUAGAUAUAUAUUAUUUAGAUCUUUUUGCUCUCAUUUUCAACUAAUGCACAGGGUUUCGUAAUAGAUUUAACUUUUAAAAAAUAUUAAAAAUAACAGCGAAGUAGCAUAGUUGCCAAAAUUUAUUGUCAUCGAAAUGUUUUGCUUGUCGCAAUUAAUAUAUUGUUUUUGCUCAUAUUAUUUUAAUUUUUGGGGCUUUUAUUAUAGUUCUUUUCUUUGUUUUAAAAUUUUGUCAGUAUUAUGUCAUAGAUAAUUUGAAACAGCCUUUUCAUUAUUCAUUACUAUAAUUGAAAGUACAACCAAAUGCACAUAAAAUUUAGUAGUAGUACUAUCAUUAUGAUAUAAAAAACAUAUUGGCCAUACAAGGUCUUCAAAGUCUUCAAUUAGGAGAUCAAUUUGGGCAUAUUAUUUUCUAUUUUGCUAGUGUGUGCUUUCCGAAAAAAUUAAAAAAUAAACAACAUAUCUCAAAGAACGAAAUAGUUGGCAGGAAAUUGUUGCAUGAAAUGUUACUUUUUGCUUUGUUAAACAAUAGUAUAACAUAAAAUUAUACACGUAAAAAUAUAGUAUAAUCAUAGUAUAAUUUUACACGCCCGCGCCACUGAAAUUACUCCUCAUUCGCCUCAAAUUCCGUAAUGAUUCACGAACUUCGAAAUGAAUCACUGACAACUAUUUCGGUCUUUGUAUUAAUCAUGAUUUUUAAAUAUUGGUUAUUUAGAACAAAAAACUCAAAAUCUCGAACUUGAUCAUUUAAGUCAUCAACUUCCUUAGGCAAUUAACUCUUUAUAUAUUUAUCUAAUAUCUCUUUGUACUUCUUUAUUUUUCCAACUUUUUUAGUUCCAAAAAAUUUUUAUAAAUUUUUAUUUGUGUUCAUCUUUGGUUCUUUUAAAACAAAUUCAAUUGGAAUUAGACUUCUUUAUGAAGUGUAACUGAAAAUAUAAAAUAUUUAUUUUAUCAAAACUAAAACAGUGUGAUCACCAUAGUAAUGACGAUGUAAUCCUUCGUCUUUAUGUGACGUCUGUAUCAUUGGGGCGUGAGCAGCUAUGGCUGCAAACAUUUCUCUGUAUUCAGCUGUACGUAUAGUUCGUGUCAGUAUCAGUUAGUAGGGCAAUGUCAUCUGCAUAUCUCUAUUAGAUUUUUCUUUAAGUCCACAAAUUUUGUUCCUGUAGAGAGGUUUUCCCAUGCUUUCUUAAAUAGCAGCUCCGAGUAAAGGUUUAACAGCAUAGGGGACAAUACACAACUUUGCCUUACUCCUUUGCUUAUACAGUCAAACCCGUGGCAACUGGGUGGCAAUAUGUAUAGUUUGUAGACAAAGGAAAUUAUUUUACGACUGAAUUUGUCGAUAAACGAUUGAAUUGGUACUCAUAACAACGCAAUAAAAUAUGUAUUAUCUAUCUGACAAACCCAAAUAAUAUAAAUAAAACAGCACUACCUACAGGCCUUCGAAGCCCUUGGCGAGAAACCAUAAUAAAAGACAUAAUUUAAUUUUUUAGGAAAUUCGAAAUUGUAGGUAAAAAUUUAUUCGUUGACCUGAAUAAUAUUCUAAUAAGCGGUCUUGUUUUAUUAAUACGUAUUCCAAUAAACGGAUAAAUUUAUUAAGGAGUAAAUGGAAACGUUUCGGGACCUCGAAUUUAUAUUUCAUAAACCGGGAUAUUCCUAUAACUGGUACUUUAAUAAGCGGGUUUGACUGUACUAAUAUUUCUGGAUGUUUGAUGGUGGAUCCUAAGCUUGGUAUGACUCCUGAGAGCAAAAUGAUAUGAGAAGAAGAUGAAUCUGAAGCGAGGUAAUACUUUUAGGUAAUUGUAAAGCUUCUUUCGUCUAUUAUUAUAUAAGAUUUAUUUUUCCAACCACCUGGGUAGCUCAUAGGAGAGUAUGACCUAGGUAGGCUGUGGUCCGGAAUGAUAUUGGCUUGAUUUCCACUCAAAUUGAAAACCAAAAAGUAUUGCCAAGGUCCAUGAAGGCCGUGACAAACCUUUGAGUAAUAAUUUAUGUAAUAUAGGUCUUUUACACUUAUACACUGUAGCCCGGAUUGGAGACAUUGUUAUUAAGAAUCAAAAUGAAGAGAGAAGAGAGAAAGAAUCGUUUGCACGUUUUACUGCUAUUAUUUUUUUUUUGUAUAUUUUUAUAUCUGGUGAUUUAUACAAAUUUGAAAGUUGUAUAAUUACCGUGUAUUUUUAAAAUAUUUUUAUUAGUACUCCCUUUUAUUCAUAUACUAUUUUUUUCUUGUUGUUUGUAGUUUUAAUCCUCUUCUUAGUCUGUUUGAUUUGGAUCUUGAUAUUUUUGAAACAAUCCUGGAAAUCGCUAUUCGUGGCAAUAUGUUUGUUGCAGUAUUCAGUAUUCAAUUCAUCUUAAUAUAUUUUUGUUCUACGCAUAUAUCAGAGAAUAUUGUUACUACUGAGAAAAAAUCAGUUAUUUUAAUUUCGAUGACGAGUUUCGAUAUAGAAUGAAGAAUGAAAAGGUUUGUUCAACAAGGUUGGCUUCAUUUUCGUGAAGCAUAUUUUUAUAUACACAUGUACUUAGUACUGAAAGCUUUAGAACAUUUCUUAAAUAAUUAGCCAUGCUCGUUGAAAAGUAUUUACAUAUAUGUAACUCAGUCUUCACGUACGUAGUAUGCAGUCGACCUUGUGCAGUUCUCGGAUUAUAUGACAAACUUCUGAUAUUGAAGAGUAAAAGUAUAUAAAGAAUUUUUGUGUCUGUCAAGUGCGCAUUUAUUUAUCUAUACAGAAUUUCACGUUAAGAAUAGAAAGUUGCUUAGAUAGGCCAAUGUAUUUCUUAUGGACGAUAGAAGCGCGCCGAUACCACGCCGUACUGAUUAGAAUGAAUCGUAUAUAGGCAGUCGAGUAGCCACCCGUACCCUAGAGGUUUGGCAACACUAAUCUUCAUAAACGCAACAUUUCUUCUUAACGUGAAACAAGGUAUAGAAACGAUACCAAGAACAGCGAGGCAAACUAAUACUGUAAAUUUCGUGUUUUAUUGAUUGAAUGUAGACUAAGUCAGCCAAGUAGCACUUUUACCUGCAAUUCCAAAAAUAUUCCAACAAAAAACAGGAACUAAGUCACUUAUUCAUCAUUGUUUAAAGAACUCACAGUGUUGCCAAGCUGUAUCUUAAUCGAUUCGAUCUCAUGCAAAACGCCAGACAAAAAAUUUAAAUGAUGUUGUUUUGUAUAUAUUUACUGUCUGUAUCCGCAUGUGGAUUAAAAAGAUAAAUGAUAUAUCUAUUUAUGUAUCCUUUUUAUCAAAUAAAACAGUUAUCAGAAGUUUUUCUUGUUUGCUCAAAAGUAAAGUGUUACAUAGGACGAGAACUGUGUACAGUGACAUACAUUUUGUUAACAAAUCUCCAAAAAGUGGGAACGCCCUUCACAUGCAACGUCGUGCAGAACCAAAAAUCAAAAUUUUUUAGUUGAUGUUAGUAUUUUUUGUAAAAACUGCACUUUCACAACACCGAGUAGGCGAAUCCAUGUGCGCAUAUUUUCGAAAGAUGUCUCAGGGAGGAUUGAUAUCAAAAUAUUUAGCACAAUAAUUUUUAAAGUACCUCAUAUUACUAGGUAGUCUCCCCUAAACCGAAACAUCUGAAAGUAUGCGUUACACGUAUGGGCUGUGGUAGGUACUUGAAAAGAAAGUGAUAAGAGAGAUAAAUAAUCAACGAAAUUCUUUUUAUAUUUUAGAAUAAUUAGUUCAAACUCAAUAGAAAUAAGGACCAUUUACUCUACAACUUGUAUGUUCAGGUUUGUUGUACAUUGGAUUAACUUAAGUAAGUCUUAUGUUAUAAAGAGAGAAAACAAGAUACUUCUGCUAUCUAUUGGUCCACCUUUUCGUACAGCAAUGUUGCCUGACUAAUUUAUUUAAAAAUAAUUUGGACAAAAAGCCAUUGUACAUACAAUAUUUUUUCAAAUAAGAUCUAAACAUCCGGUAAGAAGGACCAUUGAACUGUUAUCGACGACAAAUUUCGGUACUAAAUUAAAACUUUUACCGAUACUGUUGAGUGUUCUUCUAUUAUACUGUCCGUACAGAAAAAUACCGUCUGGCUAACUUUACCAAAAACAUGAAGUCAAAAAUCCAUGAUAAUUUCAAAUCUAUUUCACAAAAGGUUAAAAUAUCCGGCUCGAAAGACCAGUUUUUAUUUGUGACAAUUUCGAAAAAUUGAAUCGAGUCUAUUACUACAGCAGAUUACGAUUCUACAUAAAAUUUUACAUGUUAUUUAUAUUGUUGAUUGUACUUCUGCUACGUAUUCGCCGAGAAAAAUGUCAUUCGACAAAAAACAAGAUUGGAUAAAAAACCAAAAUAAGCCGGAAUCAGAAAUAAAUUUAAGUAAAUAAUAGAACACAUCAUAAUGAACAAGUGAGUACCAUUUUCUUGAAUCUCUCUACAACUCUUUUUUGUACAUACCUCGCCUUACAGCAAAAUGGAAUGAUGAAAUAUAUAUUAUUGGCACAUUAUUUUUUGGAUAAUUUGUUUGUAUAUAAUAUAAUGUUGGGUUGGUUAUAUUUAUAUAUUAGUUACCAUAUAUAGAAAAGCGCUUAUAUAAUGGUUGUAGUUAAUAAUUGCGAUUAUUAUUAUUAUUAUUUUCAAUUAGAUCUACAUUUCUCAUAGAUAUCAAGAGAAUAGUUUGAAUCCUUUAAUCACUUCCAAUAUUAAGAUGUAACAAAUAUUUAAGAUUUUUACUAUAUGAUCUAAAGGCUGCACUACAGAAUAGUAUGUUUUAAGCUCUUCGGCAAAAUGAGUCAAUUAAGUUUUUGAAUGUAUUUCAAUUAAAAAGGAGAGAUAGGGAUAUCUUUAUUAGAUAAUAAACAGAUUGUAAAUAUAGACUUAAAAUGCUGUUGAAUUGUUUAAAAUUAAAAAAAAUACAUUUAUUAAACAAUAGUGAAAUAAUGAAAUUGUUACACAUAAAAAAUAAUUUAUUUAUUUAUUACAGACGGUACUAAAAAUAAACGAGUUUCUCGUUUUCAAAUUCUAAAAAGUUAACAAUGGGCAAUAUUCAAACGAUUUAUUCAGCAAAUAAACAUGUAAUUUCUGGAGACACUCUGUUGUUGCCACCACUGGUCUGUAUUCUAGUGCAGUUUUCAUCCGUUUUGUCCAAUCAAUUUCCAUUGUAUGCCUUACUAUUUUUAGCUUAUGUGAUAUGACAAUAUUUUCCCCGGAACAUUGAAAAUAGCUAUAAGAACGCAAUGGACACCCCAUACGUGUUGGACCAGUUUUGUAGCAUUCUUAAUACUUGUCCAAUUUUGUAAAAUUGAUCGUGUCAAUAUCAAUAUGCCUUUUUACCAUAGGAUCGUGGUAACUUUUUAUAAUCCAUGAUAGUAUGUGGAUUCCAUCCCUGUGGCAGUUCUUCCUAGAUUUUUUACUUGUUUAGAUAUAAUUGUAUAUUGAAGAUCAAAACCAGUGAUGUGAUUAUAGUAUAAUAAAAACAUACAAUAAUAUUAAAAAAGAAAUCAUCCAGCCUCGAAUAUCCACUGCCGAACAUAGGUCUCCUCCUCUUGUUUUCAACCCAUCUGUCAUUCUUUAAUUCCAAUGAUCCAAUUUUGAUUCAUUUCCUUACGUCGUCGUUACAUGACGAUCGUGGUCGCCCAUGGCCUUGUCUAUGGAGUUUGUGUCAUUCUCACUAUUUGUCCUGACCAUCACCAUUUUCGUUUAGCUAUCCUUUCAAUGCUGUUACCUUAGGUAUUUUUCGUAUACCUUGUCAAAUACGUAAUGCGAACCGGCAACUCUGUAUAAUUGUAAAUUUCAUGUGUCUAUGAUCUAUGAUAAUUCCAUCCGUUCUGAAGGUAGAGGCACUAUGAAAACUGGAGGCGAAAAUGCCAUUUGCUGAAUAAAUUGUUACAAAUUGAACCAACCACAAGGUGAUUCGGUGAAACUGUACGAUUUGACAACGGUGCUGACGAUAAAAUAGAGGUGCCGCGGGUUUGCGACGUAAACGUUGUGAAUCUAGAGAGUGGGAAGUUUAGUUACCAUGGAGACGUGGUCGUGUGAACACGCAUUUGCUGUGAAAGCUUAUUACCAAAAAAGAUGAAAGUUUUGUGCGUGUACAACGGGCAUUUCGUUUACACUAACAUUUGCCGCCCCGCGCUGCAUUUCCGCUGCUAUUAAGUCUUGGUUAGGAACUUUGAAAGUAGUGGUUCAACGUCACAGAAAAGAGGUGGCAGUGUCAGAACUGGUCGCACACCGCUUCAAUAUUCUGUGGUGUGCGAGCAGUUCUGACACUGCCACCUCUUUUUUGUGAUGUUGAACCACUACUUUCAAAGUUUCUAACCCAAGUCUUGUAACUUGGUCUUGUGAACGGGACGCUAAAUGGUAGUGUAAACGAAAUGCUUGGUGUACACGCACAAAACUUUCACCAUUUUUGUAAUAAGCUUUCACAGCAAAUGCGCGCUGUUCACCAGACCACGUUUCCAUGAUAUCUAAACUUCCCACUCUCUAGAUUCACAACGUUUACGUCGCAAGCCCGCGGCACCUCGUAUUUUAUCGUCAUCACCGUUGUCAAAUCGUACAGUUUCACCGAAUCACCUGUUAAAACGUACAAAGUUUGUUUAUUCCAUAAUGGGAUCUAAACUAUAAUUUAAUACAAAUUAGAAUUUGUUGCAAUAUUUUCGGAAACUUAUUUGGUUGUUUUGCCUUAGAGUUUUGUAGAUUUAACUAUUAUAUUAUUAGUGUUACACAAGACUGGUGUAGAAUCAUGUCAAUAUUUUAGCAAAUUAGUGGUGUUUCAACACCUUAUUAAAUGGUGAUAGGCUAUUUAGUAGUUAUUUGUAUUUUAACUAAAAUAACAAUGGAUUGUCGGAAUUUUAUAUUUGCUGUUUUGGACCACUUAAUAAACUGACGUAACAAGGUACAUUUAUGUUUAUUUUUGCUUGAGUAGGAUGAUUUAGGGAGCUGAAUCAAGUUUGGUUUUUGUAAACAAUAUUUAGUAGGUUGGAGUUUCCUUUAACACGUUAUGUGCCACGUGGAUCACAACUGAGAGGGCCGACCAGACUCCGUGAUACAUAUGGGCUUCAGUACUGUCAUAAAAAAAUAAAUUGGCCCAUGGGGACAAAUUUACACUGCCCUAUUUGGGUGGUUAACGUGCUGACAUCAUUUUGAAGUCAUUAAUCAACUUUUCAAUAUUUUUCUUUUGACUUGUUCUUUGUUUUGAUUUAUUAUUUGGUUUUGGCCUGCUAUCGUUGCCUAAUAUUGCUAAUAAUAGUUUUUUUGUGGACACUAAAACCAUAAAAACUGUGAUAAUUUUCAGGGUACCGGUAAGAUACUUCUAAAUUAACAAAGUCAACGUAAAAACAACAGUUUUAUUGUAGUCUUAAUUAUAAUUUAGUUAUGAAUUGAAACAAUAUGAAGCCUUAGUUAUUUUUCAUCGUAUAUAUUGAUGUUUAUAAAAGCUGUAACUCAUCAGCACACUUCAGUCCUUGAAAUCUAUAUUUUCGUUAUUAGUAUUCCGAAUAUUUGUUUGAUGUAUAAUAUUUAUAUAAAAUAAAAUAAAAUAAAAAUGUAUACCAUUUUUAUUCAGUUGCAAUGCGAAGGCAAAACAAUCUUACUUUUCAAUUAGAAUACGGAGUGCAAUCCAGCUCUCUGAAUCGCGAUUUUCGAUUCUUAUUGGAAUCUCAUCGGAGAGAGCGCAGGCUUGUUCUCCAUAUCCUAACUGACCAGCACCGAGAGCUUUUCCCAUACAUUGCAACUGAAACAAAUAGGGUAGAUGACUAGCGUCAUCUGGCAGUUGAAAGAUGAAGUUUUUCAAUCCUAAUAGUAACAUUAAUAAUAUUGAAAAUAUUAAAAAUAUUACUAAAAGAUUUUUAUAUUGAAAAAGUUAUUGGUACACUUCCCUGGUGACACCAAAAUAAUAUAAAUAUUAUGAAUAAUUAGUUAUAGUCUCGAUUUUUUAGCGAGUUGGCAGACUGACUUCGCAUUGGAUAGUUUAAUAGGCUGGGGGGCGACCCGCAUUAAUUUUACUUAUACCGGAAGGCGUUGCGUUCUUCUUGUAGUGCCUAUCCUUUUGGGAUGUUGGCGACCAUCAUGGCAAUCUGCAAUCUUGCACACUGCUGCUCUGAAAAGAUUUGUGGUUGUUGUGUUAACCCAUGUACAUAAAUUUUCCAGCCAGGAAAUCUUUCGCCUUCCUGGUCCCCGUUUGCCUUCUAAUUUUCCCUGUAAAAUUAGUUUCAGCAGUCCAUAUCUCUCGGUGUUCAUCAUACUCUUACCGAAGUAUUCGAUUUUGGCUGUUUUUAUUCUGGUUAGCAGCUGUUAUUCAUUUUGUAUUCUUAAUAAAACGUCUUGAUUAGUAAUGUAUGAUUAAUAAUGUAUAUGUUCCUUCCAGUUAUUUUAUUGUUCGAGAAGCCUUAAAUGUUAUUUUAUUUGCAAAGCACUGUUUAUUUGUCUUAUUAUAAAUUCUUCUUUAAAUUAAUAUUUUUAUUGUCUUCCUGACUAGACAAUCAGUAGUACUUAAAUUUUUAGAUUUCAGUUUUAUAAUGCCGAUUUUUAUUAUUUACGAAACUUCUCCAUUCUGUAUUGUCAUAUUAGACUUGUGCAAACUUUAUAUUAUUAAUUAGCCGGGUUCGAAUUUUUGGUUAUAUCUGCAUUCAUUAAAUGGUAUAUUUGAUAAUAAUAAUUAAAAUAUAUCUAUUUGAUCAUCUGGAUAAACACAAAAUGCUUCCCGCAUAUUCUUACAUACUCUCUUAUAGUAUAAUAUACUAUAUUUACAUAUUAUGUAAUAUUGUAUUCUUCUUCAUAUUAUAUUCUAGCUUCAGUGGUUGUUGGCAGUCCUUUUUUCAUGUAUUAUUAUGUAGGUGUGUUUAAAUUCACGUGUUUUUACAUAUUUAUUAACUUUUGUCCUUAAAUUCUCUCUUUAUAGACAGCUCUAUAAGGCGCCAUUUAUUAUCUGUCAAAAUAUGGCAUAAAUAUGGUAUGAAUAUUGUAUUGUUAAUCAGCUUACCAAUCAUCAAACAACAGAGUUAUUAGCGUAAUAGAAUAAUAAUCAUUUUGCAUAGUGUGUUAAAAUGAAUGACUUGUUACUGAGUAAAACCGGCUGCUCUGUUUUCACAAUAAAUUGCUUAUGAUACCCGAUAACAACGACUCUCGCGACUUUUUGAGCUUCCACUCAAAGUUACCGCUUGAGCCAUUGGACUACCGAGGUAUAGUUGCCAUCAGGUUAUUGCAGAAACCUCAAUCUUAAGCUUAUUACAACGUCAUUUGUAUUUGACUGGUGUGGAUAACCUUCCGAUACAGGUAGAAAGUAAUAAAUGUUAAUCUAUUGUAUAUUUAAUUAUAAUACCUGCUAUUCAGUAUGUUUACCUCUUGAAACUUAACGACACCACUGAAAAUGCAAAUAGAUUUGUAAUAUAAUUAAGAUUAAGGUUUUCUGCAAUAUCUUGAUGGCAACUGUACACCAGAAUUUCUGCUACAUGCUUAUUGUUGACUGCAGAAACGACGGUUGCUAAUCAAAGACUUUAUACUGAAAAGUUGGCUAAUGAACGAAAAGGUAUUUUGAAAGAACCGGAAUCAUUGUUUACAAAAACUGACUGAUUCAUUGAAGUAAGGUAUACAUGUAUUUAUAAUCAAAAAUGAUUAGGAAAUGUACUUCUGUUCAUGGUAUUUGGUCCUAUUUUGUUUUAUUUACAAAUAGUACUUGUGUAUUUAACGAAUUUUUCUUCAACCAAUAAAAAAUAUACAAAAUAUAGUACAAAAUGAGAUUUGUUGAAAGCGAUUGUAUAUAUGAUAUUUAUUAUGAUUGUAUAUAGUUUUACGUUGUGAAAUGAUUUUUGGGUUUGUUAUUUUUGAAUGAUAUUUUGACAUAGAGAUAAUUUUGAUGUUUAUAGAGGCCUUAGUAGUGAAAGACUACGUUAGAAAAAUUAAUAAUACGUUUAAAAAUCUAUAUAUAGGGUUUUUCCUACAAACUCCGUCUUACGAUAUCGAUGAACUAUUUAAAUAUGUUGCCACUACUGUAUAUUGUUGCCUCGAUAAUCGAUUUCAAAAAGAUAAAAGAAUGCUCUAAAUUUAAAUACUUGUUUUGUUUUCUGGCCUUGUUUUGGAUCCUUUAGCGGUGUAUACUAUUCCUAUAGCUCAAGGGAGUAAUUUGUAGUGUGUGUUAAGUAAAUGUUUUGUUUCUUAGUAAAGUAGACUUCAUUGUCUUUACAAGGUGACACUAAUUAUUGUAUCCGAACAGGUGGGCACCGAUUCCACAAGGAUAGAAAUUAUUUCCAUUUAUUAAUUGUUUAAUAAUAAAAAACAUUUCCCACCUAGCUGGGAUUCGAACUCUCGACCUUUGGGUUCAAAGGUAGGCUCUCUUACUGAGCCACGAAGGGGUUGAUUUGAAUGAACUUACACUUACACCACGUUUACCCAUGAACGAAUAACUGACGAUAAAUGUCAAUAGAUGAAAUCCAUUUUGCAUUUUAAAAAACGUAGCACAGCGACCGAGACCUCCAUCUUCGAAGGCUGGCUAGGCCGACACUGAGCAAUGCAGAUGCAGCGAGGGGAAAGGGGUGGGAGAGAGAGAGAGGGAGAGUUGUAAGGCAAUGUUGAGAGAUUGAGCAAUGCAGAUGCAGCGAGGCGAAAGGGUUGGGGGAGAGAGAGAGGGAGAGUUGUAAGGUAAUGUUGCCAGAUUUCUCCCAGCCCGUCACACUCUUUCUCAGUGACAUAUGGAACCUUUUUUCACGAAUAAAUUUUUAAAAAUUAUCUUGUUUUCUCCGGUUUUCCCGGUUUAGUUGUUGAUCACGUGAGACGGAAUUAGUAGGAAAAAAUAAAAAUAUAAAUUUUAAACUUUAAUUGCAAACAGCACUUCCGAAAUGUCAUUUACAAAAAAAUCUUGAAAUUUUUGUACAUACCUAAAGUUUUGUACGAGUGAUAGAAUGUGUGAAUAGAAACUCGUUAAAUAUACUAUUCAGUGUUGGUGUAUUUCUUUAAGUACAAAUAAUAAAAAAAUCAUUACCCUUUAUUAAUAUAAUAACACUGCUGUAUUUAAUAAGCAUAAUGUAAUGUAUGUCAGUCAUAUAGCUGUUUUCAAUAAACAAAAUGUUUAAAUUAAAAGUUUGUCUAUACUUUUUCUCAGAGGCUUUUUUCAGUGUGUCACAGUUUUUCGAUUUCUUUCUAACACAUUAAGUUGGAAAUGACAGAAAAAAAGGUACGUCCGUGAUUAUACUCUUUAUAAUAUUUGUUCUAGUUGUUGAUAGAUGGCGCUAUAAUAAAAAAAAUAUUUACGUAUUAUCUAUACGACUAUACAAAUAAAAGAAUAUACCUUUUUAUAAAUGCAAUGAACACGAUUGAUUUGUUUUUAUACCAAAUUGCAAAUAAAAGGGCUACACUGCAAAAACCUUUUCAUAUUUUUAGCUGAUUACGAUUCUGACAACUGUCAGAGUUAACUAAAAUGUCAUGCAAUGAUUCUCUACAUUCUUAAAAUCAUGUAUGACGUUAAAAUUAAUGCCACACUGAAAGACUGAGACGAACUCUAGAUUGUAGUCGUAUAGAUAUGUAAUAAGUAAAUCAUUCUUUUCCGAUUAUAGUGCCAUCUAUCAACAACUAGAAUAAAAGUUAUAAAUGUGUAUAAUCACGGACGUACCUUUUCUUCUGUCACUUGUGACGCACUGCAAAAGCCUCUAAGAAGCACCAUACCAGUGUUUGCACAUUCAAAUUCGAAUUUUCCCGUUUUUAAAUUAGACAAUCUGUAGAAACGUUUAUAUAUUUAUUACACUAAUCAAAAUAUUUAAUCGCGCAUCAGUGAAAUUUUGAGAUUUUGUUACUAAUAUACAAUAAUAUUAUGUACUAACCUCUUGAAUAGAAAAUCAGAAUAAGUAACGAAUAUAUUUUCAACAAGCAAUUGGACUUAGUAAGUCGUAGGUUUUCACUCAGUGUGACCGGAAGUCGAUAUUUGAACUCUUCUUGUAACUUUACGUCGAAUAGACGAUUUUAUUAAUUUUGACUAAUUUUUGGCAUACUUUUGGUCUUUUGUGACAAAAUUUAACCGGAAAUGUCAUCAAAACGCGACGAUUGAUAUAAUAAAACACUUCCGAUUAGAAAUUUUUAACCUGAAGUAUAUAUUUGUUCUCAUCUUGCUAAAGUGCGUCGAAUUAUAUAUCCCAUGUACUAUUUCGGUGACUCUAAAACAGUAUUGAUGAGGUUUCAUUCGAUACCUUAUCAGUCAUUCUAUCUGUUCUAAUAACGGAGGAUUUGUGUUUACGGACGGACAGACAGACAUGGAUAAUUCAAGGUUUUCACAUUUUAAUGUUUGUAAAAUGGGUGAAAACAGAAUAAAAACUGAGGAAUGACAUUCUAUAUUUCGUAUUCGCAAGUUCUUUUAUCGUUGGUUUGGCUUUCGUUGGACCUCAAGAUCAGACAAUUUAGGAAGCAUCAAAUAAUAGCUCCUUUGAAAUGAAUCAUCUCCAAUAAUUUUCACUUUGUCUACAAUUUUUUUCCACUAUUCUGCGGAAACUAUUUUAAAGAACUUGUCAGACAAUUUUUAAAAAUAAUUAAAAUUGAAAAAUGUAUUUCAUGUUACAACAUAAUUUUUUAAAAGCUGCUCAAAUAAGCUCCAUCAGGUUUAAAUCUGAAUGACAUACGUAGUGGAAGCUUUAAUGCGUAGUGUAUUUUGCUCUUUGUUGAUGCGGAUACUUUAUCCUGUUGAAUGUUAUAAUAAAUUACAAGAAAGCUAAUACAGGAAAUUGGGACUAGAGAUCAACAUAGGAAAAACCAAAUAUAUGAAUAUCGGUGGAACAUUGCAGGACUUCAUACUAGACGGAGGACAAACAAUCAGUACAUGUAACGAAUCUGGGUAUGAAAAUCACGAAUGAUGGAACACUGGACCAUUAAAGAACGAAAUAUUCAGGGCAGGAAAGCAAUUGCACUUCUAAACUCAUUACUCUGGGACAAGCAGAUAAACAAUCAAAAUAAAAAAAGAUCCGUAAUGCCUAGUGAAAAGCAUCAUAACAUACAGCUGCGAAGUAUGGCCUAUAAAGGAAAAAUCAAAACAAAUGUUAGGGGUCACCGAAAUGGAUUUCUGGAGAAGAGCUGCAGGAAGAUCAAGAAGAGAACAUGUCACCAAUGAGCGGAUACGAGAAAUAAUGAAGGUCACACAUACAAUAAAUGACGAAAUACAACUAAGAUGGUUUGGUCACGUGCAAAGAAUGCAUGAGGACAGAAUCCCAAAACAAAUACAAAACUAGAAACCGCAAGGUAGAAGAAGAAGAGGUAGACCGAGGAAAAGUUGGCAAGAAGGAAUAAACAAAGCCAUGGAGGAAAGAGGUCUGCAAGUAGAUCAAUGUGUGGACAGAGAGGAAUGGCGAACGGGUAUCUGAAGACGGAGAACGUUGUAAACCGAUAAUAUAAAAAAAGUGCAUUGCCCAUCAUGACGACAUUGAAGCUCCUAUUAUCAUAGUAAUCACCCGAUUUUGUUUGCGACUUCCAUCUUACAUAAGAUCCAUAAUAUUUUGACGUUUAAUUUAGUUUUGUACCUAAAAAACAAUGGUAAUACAUAAAAAAAGUUACGGAGACAUAUUCCAUUCAACAUAACUACAGCACUGCUCUGCACUAGGUACAUAUGGAAUGUUGAAAAAAAAAAUAUAAAUGAAGUUUUCUGUGAUUACUUCCUGAUCGGAGCGAUAUCUCUCCCCACGGAGCUUUUUUUUAGACGGAAAAGAAGAUUAGUCACUGGGGGAGAGAUCUGGGCUAUACAGUGGAUGCGGAAGCUAUUCCAACCCCAUAUCGUGCAUUUUUGCCAUCGUUUUCAUUGACUUGAACACAAUUUUUUUUGUAUUGUCAGACUAUACACAAUAUAUCCAACAAACCUAAAGAAAAUAGUAGAAAGCUAUUCGAACUAAAUAAGGGAAUAAUAUUAAAGAUCAAGAAAAUGAAGAAAAGAGAAUAAGAAAAAUUUAAAUAAAUAUAAAAGCAAGCAUGACGGAAAUUGCCACCGAAUUUUUUGUGUAUUCUUUCUUCCAGAUACUCUACAUAAGAAUAUGUGGAAUGCAAAAAAAUCAUGUUUAAUUAACUAAUGUGUUUUCAAUUUUUCCCAUUGCCGUUUCCAUUCUUUAAAUUUUGAUGACUUGAUGUAACAGUGCGAUAAGGAUGUCAACAUUGGUUUCCAGGCUUAUAAGGCACAGACGAAGCAUUAGGUAGAAAUUGCAGUUAAGGAAUACGAGGUAAGUACGUUAUAGUCAACUACAAAAUAAGAAAGUCUUACAUAACGCGAGAAAUGAACUGAAAAUUUUCAAAAUUUCACUGAGCAAUGCCCUAUAUAAUUCAAAUGUAUGCUUUUUAAACAUAUUUCAUAUAUUUGGAAGUUAGGAUGUAAAGAAUAUAAUGCAGUGAUAACAGAUAGUUCGCAUUGGUCCUAAAGCAUGCGUUUGUGUUGUAUUACUGCUAAUGGAGAAAUUAGCAAAUGCUGUGAAAACUUUAUGUUAGGACCGUUAAAAAUUAAAUGUCAUAUCAAAUUUUCGUAUGAUUUGGUUAAUUUCAGCACACGAUUGCUAUCAAAAACAGCUUGAAUUAAAAUUGCUUCUUGACGUACUGUAAAUUAAUAUUCAACUAACUUGUAAUGACAAUUGAUAGAAAAUUUAAACAAACUGACCAACUGAAUCACUGCUGAUUAAAUCCAAGUUGUUCCACCGUCUAUAUCUUAAGAUCCUUAAAUGUUUUUUAAAAGUUUUGAUAUCGGUGAGUGCGUGAGUGGUCCGAUAAGUACUUAGUCUCUCUGUCCGAGAGCGCCACGAUCGAAAAAGAAAUCUACCAUUGUCCAAUACAUUCUUGUUGUAUGUGUCAAAAUCUGAGCCGAAUCCGACUUGUAGUUUUGUUUUCACAGUGUGUGCAAAUGAGCCUGUUGAGGUUUUUAGAAAUAUAUAAAAAGAGCAAUAUCGGUCAUUGAUUUGAAUCUUGUGUUUGAAAAAGAAAUCAAGCAGUCAAAUCAAAGAGCGCUUCUUGAAUGCCGUGUACGGUUACUCUUCCCCUUCGAUGGCGAACGUCAAAAAUUGGUUUAACGAAUUGUUUAACUAGGUAGGAAGUCUACUUUACAUACCUCGAGAGAACAUAUUUUUCCGACGGGUUAAAGAAGUUGAAGCGUCGCUGCGUCAAGUGUAUCUAGCUGAAAGGAGACUAUGUUCAGCAGGGGCGGUUUCUCCAUUGGUUCACUUGUGCAGUGAACACCCAAUAAAAGUUCAUUAAAAUACAGUUUUUUUAAAUCUCAUAAAUAUUAUACAUAAUAUGUAAUAUUAAAAUAUUUUUUUAAUAUCAUAGAAUCAUUAAAAUAUAACUUUAUUUAUUAAUCAUAUUUACUUGCUCUACGCCGCUGGAUGCACGUGGCAAGUACAGAUACUAAGCUCUGGGCCUAGAUUCCGUGCACUGUAGAUAUCUACAGUCGCUUUCUGUCGAUGGCAAUUGUCAUAAAAAUAUUUGAAUUUUUAGUUUUAAUUCAAAUAUUUUCUUGUUUUACUAAGUGUCACUUCAGCAUCAAUUAGAGUAUAACCUAGCAAAACUAGAAAAUAAUUCACUUAAAGCUAAAAAUUCAAAUAUUUUCAUGACACGUGACAUCGAUAGAAGGCGACUGUAGAUAUCUACAGUGCACGGAAUCCAGGCCCUGGUGCAGAAUUCAAAAUGAACCAGUCAGUCCUAACUUACCCCUGUAGUUAGAAAGAGAAAUCUUAAAAUCGGUGAAAAAGCAUUUCGCCUAUCUAACACAGUGAGGAUUUGUGCAGUGCACGCAGAGACCAGUGGAGCGUUUCGGUUCACAGUUUGGAAUUUUCUGUUGUGGGAUUUAGUUACAUAAGGUUAAAUCUUAAAUACAAUAUUAGUAGUUUUAUUAUGGAGCCUUAUUAAGUGGAAGUUAUAAAAGAAAAUGCAAAUAGUUUUGAAAAUCGACUUCUUAUAAAAAAGAAUGGUCCACCUUAGCCGGAGAUACAAGAAUGUGCUAUAAAAAACAAAAAGUUUAAACGUUGCUUCAAAGUUGAUCAAUAUAAAAAAACUGUGGUUGUGUGGGUAUGAUAAACUACAUUCUUUGUUUCGUUUUCCAUGUUUUGUAUUUUCAAAGAAUGAAACUAUAUCUUCAGAGUGGACAAAAACGGGCGUUCGGGAUUUAUCUCAUUUAUCAACAAAAUUUAAAAAACACGGAUCUUCCCAAAUUCAUUUAAAAAGUGAAUUUCAACUCUCAGAUAUUGGCAAUAUUGAUGUUCGCCAAUUAUUAGAUUCUGGGUAUAGGAAAAAAACGCGCCUUGCAUUUUACCUCAAUGGUGGUGUGGAAAUGAAUGCAUUAUUUAAUCGAAAUUAGUUACAGAUUUUAUGUAUACCUACCAUACAUAAAUAAUAAAAAAUGAUUAAUAUUCCACAAAGUAAACAGGCGAAGCACUCAUUAUUGAUAAUUUGUUAACGAACGCCUAUGCAAUAAGUAAAUAUAUAAUUUGGUGAGAAGCAGGAAACUAUAAUAGUUUCACUAAUCCGCUUAGGUCCCGCUGGGUUUUUUCCCCAAAAACUUUGUCACCUGUGCCGCAAUUGCCCGCGGCUAUUAUUCACCGUUUCUCUAAUUACAUUCCUUAAUUGAACACCCUUUUUAAAUUACCACGAGCCGCCACUGAUGUUCAGAAAUAAAUCACCACUUUUCCCAAAAUGUUUAUUUUUCUGUUGUAGGCUAAGUACUUAUCGGACCACCCUAGUACAGUGGUAAAAAUUUUACCAGGGUCAUGAACUUAUACAAUCAAGACUGCAAUAAAACCCCAAGCAAACACCAACAUAUUUGGCCUCCUACUAGCUCUCUACUGCUAUUAUUUUCGGAUUCUUCGGUCAUUAACCUUCGGAUGACCAAGGGGGUAAAUUUGAACCCCAGCGUAUGUUUUUCUUUAAUAAAUUCAAACGUAUUUUCAAUUUUUAACUCAUUAUUUUUUUAUUUGACUUUAAUAUCAUUCUAGAUAUCCUCAUAUUUUGAAAUAAAAAAAAUUCCCUAUAUUUUACGAAUAAAAAAUAUAUUCUGAAGUUGAUGUUUAGUAAAAUACCGUCUAUUAUGUGGAAUUCCAAGUAGUUUUACACUGCGCGUUGUCUAAAUCUAUUUUUAGACUGUGGUGCCUGUUAUAUACAAAUCAUGACAUUCCUGUCUGCUACAGUUAUGACAUUAUUAUUAUUUCCUGGCGUAUAUUAUUAUAGUUUCUUAGUAUUUUAUGUACAUAUAAGAUAUGGCCCGCAAAUAUCUUACUGAGGCUGAGUUACAGCAAAUUGUUACUGCUAAGAUUUAAAUGCUGAAAACAUUAAUUCCAGGUCAUUUUUGACCUGGGGUCAUUUUUUACCCCCGUUUGUCAUCCGUGUAACAAAAAAAGGUUGCUCAUCGGAAGGUUACAAGGCGUAGAAAAGAACACUGAGUGGCAUACUUGCAUUUCGUGCGCCUAUAGUAUAAUUAAGAUAUAGAUUAUUAAUAAUUGUGUUUACACUUUAUUGAUACACAUAUAUAUAUUUUUUAGCAGCAAAUGCAAAUUUUAAUAGUGUUGAUGGAUAAGAAUAAGUAAUAUCAAAAGAAGCAAUUUUAAGGUCAUGUAAACAUUUGAUCGUCAAUUUUCGUUUGAAAUACCUACUUAAUUUGUAAUAAAAAUAUAAGUAAAUAUGACAAACAAAAAAGUUUCUACUUGUAAACAUUAGCAGGGUACAUAAUUUUGUGUGAUUGUUUGUAAACGUUCAUAUUUUCUGAACCUGCCGAAGCCUUUCGGGAUUUUCAGAAAGAUAUGUUAAAAAUUUCGACUGCACAUACUGACUGCAUCAUUAACCUGCCACUGUUAGUUGGACCAAAAUAAUGUGGAAGUUGAAACGCUUGAUGGUAACAUGGGGCAUUUUUGUAUUUAUUUGCCAUUAUAAGAAUGGGAAUAAUGUGUUAUUGUUUUGAUCACAGUUUCAAAAAUAUAUGAGGAUCAAUAUUUUAAACAUUUAAUUCGAAUUAAUGAAUAAACGACAAUUUCUGCAUAAAAUCGACUCGGGCAAAACUGUACAACACAAUCAAAUCUAUCCAAGUGACCAAUUGACAUCUAUGAAUUUUCUUUCAUUCAAAUUUAAAACAAAUUUGACAACCUCUUAAGAAUAUGACUACACUGACUCACAAAAUUUUUUCAAGCUUCUCGUUCGAUACGUAAUUUAAUUAGAAGCACCAUAUAUGCCACAUCCUCUGGAGAAAGGAAAAACAUUCGAACAUCUGAAUUUUGAGGCAUUGGUUAAGUAAAUCGUGGCAAUGAGACUGCAAAGAGCAUAAUUCUAUCUGAAUAGCAGAUUACACUAACAUUUGUCAAUAACCAGCACCUCGCAGAUUCGCCACUGAAUGAAUAGUGAGUUUCCGAUAGGUUCGCGAAUUUGAAUUUUCUGAAUUUGUCUGGAACUUAAAUAAUUAUUGAGUGCUGUAAUUCCUUAAGGAUUGAGACACCUCAUAUUGAAAAAGCAUUUUACUAAAUUACUAAUUUCAUUCAUGAUUUCUCGGCAAUUACUUUUUUCGGGAUGUACCGUACCAUUUGAUUUCAAUUGUCGUUCUUUGUGUUUCAUUUAUAUUUCAUCAGUCCAUUCAUUAUUAUUAUUAUUUGAUAUAAUUCCUUUGUAGUGGCGCUGUACAAUAAAGGAACGUACAUAUGUAUGUAUAUGCAAUUAUUAAUAUAAUUUCGGAGUUGUGUUGUUUUAGAUUGCUGCUUUAAGUCAAAAUUUAUCGAGGAAUUAUGAUAAUACAGACAAUAUUGAUAUGACAAUUCAUAAAAAGUUUUACCACAGUCCUGUUUUGUCACUGUUUUUACCUGCGUCUCGGGAACACAUGCCGGUUACACAUACGGAUUAACUUCCGUGCAUGAGUUUUACAUGUUUUUAACGGGUUAACGGUUUCUUUAAAAUAUUGUCUUAGGUCCGGCUUCACCAAGAACAAAUAAAUCGGUGAACAGUUUAUUCGUCGAAUAAAAUUUAUUAGACGUUUAUAUUUUUGUUUCAAUAAUAUUUUGAUAAUUUAAAGUUUAACUGAUUUUCUUUGUUAUAGAUACUUAAAGCGAGAUUAACUUGUCAGUUUACUCGAAGACUAAAUAUUUAUUUGAUAAAUAAAUAAGUCUUAUUUGACGUUGGAGAAACGUAGAUGUGUCGGAUUUAUUGGUCGAAUAACUUUAUUCAUCGAAUAAACUACUAUUUGUCGUUGGUGAAACCGGCUGUUAGACUAUUACAUAGAGAAUUAAAGCAUUCGUUCAAUGGUAAUGGAACCCAUAGAAAAAGGUCCAAGCGCGGGCACCCUUCAGCGGGUCAUAGUAGAAAAGUUAUUUGCACUUUUUGCUGCCUUUGCGGGUCAGCAGAGAAAAACGUUGAUGUGCCCUCAGUGGCAAGUGACAAUCAAUAGAGCCCUAGAUAGAAUCACCAGUUGCGACGUCUCAGCAAUCUCUGUAUGUGUAGGUAGGGAGUGGGAUGAAACAGUACCCAGUAGGAAUUAUUAGUAAGGGUUGGAUUAAGGAUUAGCUUAAAAUUGACGAUGCAAAUUAUUGAAAUCAUACAUCUACAAAAAUAGAAGGUUAGUUUUUGCAUGUGAAAAAUUGAACAAGUGCUCUAUUUAUUCAAAUUUCGAUAGCUUUAAUUUUGCCAAGUACUAGAUUAUUGUUGCUUCCUAAAUUAGGGUUCUCACAUUAAACAUAUAUUCUCCUUUUCAUGAACAUUUUUCAGUGCGUCACAAAUUAUAGAAAAAAAGGUAAGUCCGUGAUAAUACACAUUUAUGACAUUUAUUCUAACGUGACAUUUUAGUUAAAUCUGACAGUUGUCAAAUUUUAUUUUCAAUUUGGAAUAAAACCAAAUCAAUUGUGUCUAUUGCAUUUAUAAAAUGGUAUUUUCUUUCAUUUGUAUAGUCUUAUAAAUUGUACAGAUUAUAUUGAUAAUAUUAUUAUUUUAUUUAAUAAAUAAUUCUUUUUUGAUUAUGGCGCCAUCUAUCGACAACUAGAAUAAUCACCGAACUAGAAUAAUUACCGAAGUAUUCCCAGACGUGCCUUUUUUUCUGUCACAUACAAUUUAAUGCGUUAGAGAGAAAUCGAAAAACUGUGACGCACUGAAAGAUGAUCAUGAGAAAAAGAAUAUCUUUAUUACCAAUGAAUUAAAAAAUGUCUUAAACUACCAUCAAUCGUUUAAAAACUUCCCAAAAUGUAUAUACAGCUUGAAAAAUUGGAAGAGACUAAGCAUAGAAUAGAAAAGAAACGAUGUAAUGUGAUUUAAAAUUAAAAAAUGUCCAGAAAAUUUUGAGUGAUACAAUUAUUGAUGUAGAGGUGUUUGUAUAGUUCAAGCGCUAGAAAGGUCUUUAGAAAAUGAAAUCGUUUUGAUAAUUUUUCGAUGACAAAAGCAACAAGUAGCACUAAUUGUAUUUGAUGGUUUAUUAGUGGCAAAUUGAAUUAGGCGAAUCGUCAGUAGAAGAACAAUCGAAAUGUUAUUUCAAUAAUUGCUGAAUUAAGGAAAGUCCAGUAAACUGGGAUUUUGUCUAAAAAUUCUUAUAAGAUGGUGUAUUUUUUAGUAUUGGUAUUGUAGUGGUAAGUAAUACGUAUAAUCUUAAUGAACAAAAUUUCGUCUUAGUCCAAGUUUAUUUUGCCAUAGUACAUUUAUUUUUAAUGAAUUUAAAGAUUUUAACGGGAUGUAAAAAAUGUUCUUCACGGUCUCGGAUGAUAUGUUGAUUUUUCUGAUAUCAGAAUUUUUGUUUGGAAAUAAUACUAAUUAUUAAUAUGAUAUCUUCUUCUUUAAGUGCCAUCUCCGCGACAGAUCAGCAAUUACUAUAGCUAUUCGGAUUUUAGAGACAGCUGCUCUGAAAUUUCAUUUGAUGUACAUCCGUACCAUUCUGUCAGGUUGCGCAGCCAUGAUAUUCUGCGUCUCCCUAUGCUUCUUUUUCCUUGAAUCUUUCCCUGCAUAAUUAUUUGAGGAGUAUCAGUCCACGAAAAUUAUAAUUACUAAAAAGUUCUCAGAAAUAAUUGCUUCGUCGGUAGAAACAGAAACAGAAAGGGAAAUAAUUGUUUUCGUCGGCAUCUAUUAUUAUGAACUACAUCUUUUCGUUAUAAAUAUUUUGGGAGUUAUAAUCUUCGCGGACACGCAUAUAAAAAAGAAUUGUAUCGCCAACACUUAUCAAAGAGUUAUUAUUUUCACUGGAAAUGUAUUAGGAAUCACAUUAAUCAUAGGUACCAGCGACAUAUUUCAUAUGGCGAAUAUUUUGCACAAAUUACUCCUGGUAUAACCCAUGUUAGUUUCGUUUUUCUAUUCUUAUUGGAGAAAGCAUUUUCGUUAAAAGAUACAUACAAACAAGAGUCACUACUAAUCCCCUCAAAUGCUUGAUCAACCUUAAGCUCUUGUUUUACUGGACUUUCUUACGUCUGAAUGAACAGUCAACUCCCAUUUUUUCAACUAAAUGUUUUCAUUAGUAUUCGUACAAAUAAUUUGUCGAUGUUUGAAAAAUAAACUAGAUACUAAUUAUUGUGAUUUGGCCUGAAAGAAUAUUUGUAAACUUAAUGUAAUAUAGACUAUCUGCAUGUAUCAUAGAUUAAAUUUAUAAUUGUAAAAGCUUGCAUAGGGUUUUAUCAAAUAUUUUAGUAUGUUUUUCUCUAUAUGAAUUAAUGUUGCAUUUUGUGAAAAAGUACUUGACUUUACUGAUGUAGACACACAUUAUUGGAUUUUGCGAUCUAUAUUGUGUUUUUGCAGUAAUAAAGCUUGUUCAAGGCUUAA